rnacentral:pre_miRNA from 1 species
GGUGAAGUUUUGGGUUGCGGGCCAGAGGUGCUUUUACAUUUUGCUAUUUGAAUCUUUGUAAAUGCACUAUCUGGUACGACACUCCAGAGCCAAGUUUAGC